rnacentral:rRNA from 1 species
GAUCAUUACUGAGUUACCGCUCUAUAACCCUUUGUGAACAUACCUACAACUGUUGCUUCGGCGGGUAGGCCGUCCCCUGAAAAGGACGCCUCCCGGCCCGGACCGGACCCCCCGCGGGACCGGACCCGGCGCCCGCCGGAGGAUAACCAAACUCUAUUGUAACGACGUUUCUUCUGAGUGGCAUAAGCAAAAUAAUCAAAACUUUUAACAACGGAUCUCUUGGUUCUGGCAUCGAUGAAGAACGCAGCGAAAUGCGAUAAGUAAUGUGAAUUGCAGAAUUCAGUGAAUCAUCGAAUCUUUGAACGCACAUUGCGCCCGCCAGCAUUCUGGCGGGCAUGCCUGUUCGAGCGUCAUUUCAACCCUCAAGCUCUGCUUGGUGUUGGGGCUCUACGGUCGACGUAGGCCCUCAAAGGUAGUGGCGGACCCUCCCGGAGCCUCCUUUGCGUAGUAACAUUUCGUCUCGCACUGGGAUCCGGAGGGACUCUUGCCGUAAAACCCCCCAAUUUUCCAAAGGUUGACCUCGGAUCAGGUAGGAAUACCCGCUGAACUUAAGCAUAUCAAUAAGCGGAGGAAAAGAAACCAACAGGGAUUGCCCCAGUAACGGCGAGUGAAGCGGCAACAGCUCAAAUUUGAAAUCUGGCCCCAGGCCCGAGUUGUAAUUUGCAGAGGAUGCUUUUGGCGCGGUGCCUUCCGAGUUCCCUGGAACGGGACGCCAUAGAGGGUGAGAGCCCCGUACGGUUGGACACCAAGUCUUUGUAAAGCUCCUUCGACGAGUCGAGUAGUUUGGGAAUGCUGCUCAAAAUGGGAGGUAUAUUUCUUCUAAAGCUAAAUAUUGGCCAGAGACCGAUAGCGCACAAGUAGAGUGAUCGAAAGAUGAAAAGCACUUUGAAAAGAGGGUUAAACAGCACGUGAAAUUGUUAAAAGGGAAGCGCUUAUGACCAGACUUGCGCCCGGUGAAUCACCCAGCUCUCGCGGCUGGGGCACUUUGCCGGCUCAGGCCAGCAUCAGCUCGCUGUCGGGGACAAAAGCUUCGGGAACGUAGCUCUCUUCGGGGAGUGUUAUAGCCCGUUGCACAAUACCCUUCGGCGGGCUGAGGUACGCG